rnacentral:ncRNA from 1 species
GUUGGCAAUCGGGUGUCGAGUGCAAUCGCACAAGCGGGCUUGACUGCGAGACCGACGGGUCGAGCAGGGACGAAAGUCGGAGAUAGUGAUCCGGUGCCGGCGUACGGACGCGGCAUCGCUCAACGGAUAAAAGGUACCCCGGGGAUAACAGGCUGAUCAUUCCCAAGAGUCCAUAUCGACGGGAUGGUUUGGCACCUCGAUGUCGGCUCGUCGCAUCCUGGGGCUGGAGCAGGUCCCAAGGGUUCGGCUGUUCGCCGAUUAAAGCGGCACGCGAGCUGGGUUCAGAACGUCGUGAGACAGUUUGGUCUCUAUCCUCUGCGCUCGUCGGAACCUUGAGGAGGCCUGCCCAUAGUACGAGAGGACCUGGGUGGACGAACCUCUGGUAUGCCAGUCGUCACGCCAGUGGCGCGGCUGGUUGGCUACGUUCGGAAGGGAUAACCGCUGAAAGCAUCUAAGCGGGAAGCCUGCUCCAAGAUAAGGGUUCCAUGGAUCCUCGGAUCCUGUAGUCCCCAUGCAGAACACGUGGUUGAUAGGCCGGACGUGGAAGCCCCGCGAGGGGUGGAGCUGACCGGUACUAACGGACGAGGGGCAAUCUACU